CCUACGGGAGGCAGCAGUGGGGAAUAUUGGGCAAUGGGCGCAAGCCUGACCCAGCAACGCCGCGUGAAGGAAGAAGGCUCUCGGGUUGUUAACCUCCUUUAUUAGGGAAGUAGCAAGUGACAGUAGCUGAUGUAUAAGUCACGGCUAACUACGUGCCAGCAGCCGCGGCAAUACGGAGGUGGCGAGCGUUAUCCGGAUUUACUGGGUGUAAAGGGCGUGUAGGCGGGAGUGCAAGUCAGAUGGGAAAGCUAUGGGCUCAACCCAUAGACUGCAUUUGAAACUGGACUUCUUGAGUGCUGGAGAGGCAAUCGGAAUUCGUGGUGUAGCGGUGAAAUGCGUAGAUAUACCGAAGAACCCCGAUUGCGAAGGCAGAUUACUAGACAGUAACUGACGCUGAGGCGCGAAAGCGUGGGGAGCAAACAGGAUUAGAUACCCGGGUAGUC
rnacentral:rRNA from 1 species